UACGGAGGGUGCAAACGUUGCUCGGAAUCAUUGGGCGUAAAGCGCACGUAGGCGGUCGGCUAUGUCGGAUGUGAAAGCCUCGGGCUUAACCCGAGAAGGGCAUCCGAAACUGUCGGGCUAGAGUCCGGAAGAGGCGAGUGGAAUUCCGGGUGUAGCGGUGGAAUGCGUAGAGAUCCGGAAGAACACCGGAGGCGAAGGCGGCUUGCUGGGCGUAGUCUGACGCUGAGGCGCGAAAGCGUGGGGAGCGAACAGG
rnacentral:rRNA from 1 species